rnacentral:rRNA from 1 species
CAAUGGAGGAACUCUGAAUGCAGCGAUGCCGCGUGAGGGAAGAAGGUUUUAGGAUUGUAAACCUCUGUCUUCAGGGNACGAAAAAAGACGGUACCUGAGGAGGAAGCUCCGGCUAACUACGUGCCAGCAGCCGCGGUAAUACGUAGGGAGCGAGCGUUGUCCGGAAUUACUGGGUGUAAAGGGAGCGUAGGCGGGAUCGCAAGUCAGAUGUGAAAACUAUGGGCUUAACCCAUAAACUGCAUUUGAAACUGUGGUUCUUGAGUGAAGUAGAGGUAAGCGGAAUUCCUAGUGUAGCGGUGAAAUGCGUAGAUAUUAGGAGGAACAUCAGUGGCGAAGGCGGCUUACUGGGCUUUAACUGACGCUGAGGCUCGAAAGCGUGGGGAGCAAACAGGAUUAGAUACCCUGGUAGUCCAAGGGCGAAUUC